GAGGGGAUAUAAUGGAAAGUUCAGUGCGUAUUCUUACUUUUUGAGUUUGUUGACUUUUGAGACUUGAGAGAGAUGGAGAUUUUUCCUGCUCCGUUGGUAAAGAGUAAAACAUAAGACAAGACAACCUUAAACUUAGAAGGUUCAAGUAAUGGGAGCAGUCAGGAUUGUACUCAGAGUUGUAUCACGAGUGGUACGAGCUGUUGUUGUCUCCUUCUAUCACAAGUUCUUCUAUCUUUUUUUUGACCAUAUAUGGCUUCUUCAUCUCAAAACACUGAAUCAUUUGAUGAUGCAUUUGAUCAAAUGUUUGUUUAAAAAUUUGAUCAAAUGUUUGAAAAUUUGGCCAUUUUUUUUAAGAACCCAUGAAUAAGAUGCUUGCAUUGGAGGAGAUUUAUUAAAAGUUGCUUAGGAAAAUUGCUUAACA